rnacentral:rRNA from 1 species
CUGGCGGCGUGCCUAACACAUGCAAGUCGAGCGGAGACACUGAGGAGCUUGCUCCGAGGUGUUUUAGCGGCGGACGGGUGAGUAACGCGUGAGCAACCUUUCCUCUACUGGGGAAUAACACAUCGAAAGGUGUACUAAUACCGCAUGAGACCACAGCACUGCAUGGUGCAGGGGUCAAAGAUUUAUCGGUAGAGGGUGGGCUCGCGUCUGAUUAGAUAGUUGGUGGGGUAACGGCCUACCAAGUCGACGAUCAGUAGCCGACCUGAGAGGGUGAUCGGCCACAUUGGGACUGAGACACGGCCCAGACUCCUACGGGAGGCAGCAGUAGGGAAUAUUGCACAAUGGGGGAAACCCUGAUGCAGCAACGCCGCGUGGGUGAUGAAGGUUUUCGGAUCGUAAAGCCCUGUCUUUUGGGACGAUAAUGACGGUACCAAAGGAGGAAGCCACGGCUAACUACGUG